UACGUAGGUGGCAAGCGUUGUCCGGAUUUACUGGGCGUAAAGCGAACGCAGGCGGAUCUUUAAGUAGGAAGUGAAAGGUUGGAGCUCAACUCUAACACUGCUCCCUAUACUGGAGGUCUUGAGUAUCGGAGGGGAGAACGGAACAAGUUGUGUAGCGGUGAAAUGCGUUGAUAUAACUUGGAACAUCCAAUGGCGAAAGCAGUUCUCUGGACGAAUACUGACGCUCAUGU
rnacentral:rRNA from 1 species